rnacentral:rRNA from 1 species
ACUGAAUAGAUACCCUGGUAGUCCAUGCCGUAAACUAUGGAUACUAGCUGUUGGGGGUAUCGACCCCUCCAGUAGCGAAAGCUAACGCGUUAAGUAUCCCGCCUGUGGAGUACGAUCGCAAGAUUAAAACAUAAAGGAAUUGACGGGGACCCGCACAAGCGGUGGAGCGUGUUCUUUAAUUCGAUGCUAAACGAAGAACCUUACCAGGGCUUGACAUCCCUUGAAUUACUCCGAAAGGAGUGAGUGCUUUAUUGAGCAAGGUGACAGGUGAUGCAUGGCCGUCGUCAGCUCGUGUCGUGAGAUGUUUGGUUAAGUCCAUCAACGAGCGCAACCCUUAUACUUAGUUGUAUUUUUCUAGGUAGACUGCCCCGG